GAUGAACGCUGGCGGCGUGCCUAACACAUGCAAGUCGAGGGGCAGCAUAGAGUAGCAAUACUUUGAUGGCGACCGGCGCACGGGUGAGUAACACGUAUGCAACCUACCUACAUCAGGGGAAUAACCCGGAGAAAUUCGGACUAAUACCGCAUAAUACAGGGAUGCCGCAUGGCAAUAUUUGUUAAAGAUUUAUCGGAUGUAGAUGGGCAUGCGUUCCAUUAGCUAGUUGGUAAGGUAACGGCUUACCAAGGCAACGAUGGAUAGGGGAACUGAGAGGUGUGUCCCCCACACUGGAACGGAGACACGGACCAGACUCCUACGGGAGGCAGCAGUGAGGAAUAUUGGUCAAUGGACGAGAGUCUGAACCAGCCAAAUCGCGUGAAGGAAGACUGCCCUACGGGUUGUAAACUUCUUUUGUACAGGAAUAAAAGACAUUACGUGUAAUGUAUUGCAUGUACUGUACGAAUAAGCAUCGGCUAACUCCGUGCCAGCCGCCGCCGUAA
rnacentral:rRNA from 1 species